rnacentral:rRNA from 1 species
UACAGAGGGUGCAAGCGUUGUUCGGAAUUAUUGGGCGUAAAGCGCGUGUAGGCGGCCAGGCAAGUUGGGUGUGAAAGCCCUCGCUUAACCGAGGAAGUGCGCCCAAAACUACUUGGCUUGAGUACCGGAGAGGAUGGUGGAAUUCCCGGUGUAGAGGUGAAAUUCGUAGAUAUCGGGAGGAACACCAGCGGCGAAGGCGACCAUCUGGACGGAUACUGACGCUGAGACGCGAAAGCGUGGGGAGCAAACAG